GCUAAGGAUAGGAUAGGAUAGGAUGGUUUGCAUCGCACUCCUUUGGGCGUUCCUCCUCUUUCCAUGUGUAGCACCUGUCGCGUGCCUCCCCUCCACGAUCGAAAUAAGCCCGACGGCAGCGCGGGUGCUACUCCCCUGGGGCUUGUCCAGCAGUGCAAGCGUGGGCUCGAGCCUCGCGCUCUGCCCCAGCCUCCCAGCCACUCCGGCAAUCGGUAAGCCUCCUCUCUCGCCCCGUCCGCGACCUCCAUUGGCAAGACUUGGAGCCCUGCGGCCGCGGACAGGUAAAAUCUUGGCGCGGGGAGUACGGAGAAUCGGAGCGUCAUGGAGGAUCCAUCCAACUCGAUCUGGGCGGCAACUCCCAGUGCCAGAGACAUGGAGGAACCAUCCAACCACCAUGCCCGAUGGAUCCUCAGCAGCAAGUCCGCAUCCCCGCAGAGAUCUCGUGAAUCCGAGGAACGGAGGGAGUAUAUUUAUCGAGCCGAGGAGCUACCUGACUGGAGAUCGACAGAUUUGUGUGCUAACAGCUAAGGCUUGCCCAAGGUUGAGCCGUGAGCUCGCUUCCUUUCAAAGAGUCCAGGCUUGUACGAGCCUAACCACGACAGUUCCCAAGGACUGUAGCAGCCGCUCGAGAGUCAUUUUCCAAAAAUGUAGCAUCCAAAUUUAAUAUAUAAACCUUGCUGGAGGUUUCUCCCAUUUAACAACCACCUCAUUACUCUGGAGUGGACACUUUGCAAAAUUUGAUGUGAUUGUGUUUAUACUUCUGGGAUCCUGGACAGUUUCUCUUCUCUGCCG
rnacentral:rRNA from 1 species